CCUACGGGAGGCAGCAGUGGGGAAUCUUGGACAAUGGGCGCAAGCCUGAUCCAGCAAUGCCGCGUGGGUGAAGAAGGCCUGCGGGUUGUAAAGCCCUUUCGGUGGGGAGGAACGGUCUGGUGCUAAGAGCGCUGGACUUUGUCGUUACCCCACAGAAGAAGCACCGGCCAACUCCGUGCCAGCAGCCGCGGUAAUACGGAGGGUGCGAGCGUUAAUCGGAAUUACUGGGCGUAAAGGGCGCGUAGGCGGUGCGUGGAGUCAGCUGUGAAAGCCCUGGGCUUAACCUGGGAAUGGCAGUUGAGACUGGCGUGCUGGAGUGCGACAGAGGAUGGUGGAAUUCCCGGUGUAGCGGUGAAAUGCGUAGAGAUCGGGAGGAACACCGAUGGCGAAGGCAGCCGUCUGGGUCGACACUGACGCUGAGGCGCGACGGCGUGGGGAGCAAACAGGAUUAGAUACCCUGGUAGUCCACGCGGUAAACGAUGAGAACUAGACGUCAGGCGGGUUUAACUGUUUGGUGUCGGAGCUAACGCGUUAAGUUCUCCGCCUGGGGAGUACGGCCGCAAGGUUGAAACUCAAAGGAAUUGACGG
rnacentral:rRNA from 1 species